AGUAUGCACGUGUGCCUUCCUAGCAUCUUGAACCACUGUUAGUUUCAUGGACAGACUGAGGACAGACAAGGGCAGUGCUGUAUAUGCAGUUCUUAAUUUUUUAACAGGCUCAUCAAGUAGGAAUUCAUAUUUGCAAAUCCUGAGGGAGCUGGGAAAACAUGGAUGAGCCACAGUGCUGAGCCUAGACAAAAAUCAGCUGAAUCAAAAUGAAGAGUAGCAUCAACAGUAAUAGUUAGAAGCACAGAGCUUUAUUAAGAACUGAUAAAUUGCCAGGCAUUACUUUCCACACAGAUAAUGAUGUAGGAUGUUGGCUGUCAGCAAGUCACUACAUAUUCCAAAAGAAGUCCAAACCAAAUAUGUUAUCAUAAUAUGUAUCAUCACCUGUUAUAUAUACUUAGCUUUAGCUUACAUCUACAUACCUGCAGAAAACAACAGUAUUUUCCAGUAAUUCUCUUGAGGCAGUUACAUUAAUGUUCUAGAUGUAAGAAUGUUCUAAUGUAAGAAUUGGUUCAUGUAAACUAUGCAUAAAUAGUUCAUGAAUCAUUCAUCGCUUGGUGCAAACCUGAAUCUUGAUUCUGCCCUGUUGUUCCCUCCUUGGGGUACCUGUGUAGACAUCCUUCCCAGCUGACUGUAGAAGCGUGUAGAUUUGCGUUUAUCCCCAAAGAAUGCCCAUAAAUGCUAUAUGUGAUUAAAAUGUUACAGCUCUGCUUGUGGUGCAGUAAUAGAUGCUGGUGGUACAGUGCCUUAGUGGGUGGUUUCUAGUUCCAUUUUACGUUACACAGUCAUAAUUUGUGAUACUGCUUUAGCAUUGUUCAUUGUUCUGCUGCAAGCAUCAGUGGUCAGGAACUUAGGAAGCAUGGGUGACCUUUGCAGCAUCCUAGAGGUCUGGCUAGGAUAACAGAAAUCUGAAUAGUUUAUUAGAGCUUGAUGAGAGGUGGACUUUUCUCUCAGUGUUUUCAGGUGGAAAUCUACCCCUUUUUGGUUGUGUAUCAAUUUCUGCAGGAUAUCUUAUCUGGGAGUAGGAUGCAGCAAGCUGAAGCCAUGUGCUCUCUGCCAAGAACAGAGCAUCUCUUAGUUAGGGUGAACAUCAGCAGAUGUUUUUGAGGAGCUCUCCUAGGCAGGGUUUUAAUACUGUCUUCGAUGUCCGGAGGAGAACACAGUUUUAACCAUGUAGAAUUCUCUGAAGCGAUUAAUAAUGUAGUAGCCAUAAUUAAGGGUCUGUCACGCAAGAGAGGAGUAAGAAACUGAUCAUUAUUCAUUGUCAUGUUUACAGAAGAGCUUAUACAGCUCUCACUGGAGACAAACUGAUAGCUAUCACUAUGGGGGGACUAUUUUUGCACUCACUAAAGGUGAAUUGGUGUACAUUAUUUAUUUUGAUUUUCACAGGAUCCAUUACAAAGAAGGCCCAGAAACUGAGGACUUUAUUCUUUCUUACUCAAGAAAACACCUGUUCAAGUCAGCAAGUAGUUUGAUUGAAUGAGGACAGUGAAACUAGUCCAUAGUGGAAAUUUUUUGAGAGGUGAGUGAUAUUUUUCCUUCAAAACUUGAGUGUGGUUAAAUGAGAGGAAAUAGAAAAUCUGGUAAGUGGGUUGCCCUAAAAUUACAACCAUCCCUCAGAGCUGUGGGCAAGUGCUCUCUGUGUUGAACUAGUCAUCAUUUCCCUAUGAGAGUGCCCCAAAGAGGAAAGUAUCUGGAUCUGCUCAGGAGGAACAUAGGAGGUUUCCUUGAUUCUGAACUUUGAAUCCUUCACAGUAAAAAGACACGCCAAGGAUGUGAAUGUAUGCAUGCAAUUGCUUACAUGUUUCUGAAUGGUGGAAUUGCUCAUACCUCUGAGUCCAGCUCAUCCAAGUUGUGGUGUACCAGCAACUCCUUGGGACCAAAAUACAGACUGCCAAAGCACUGUGUAGCAGAGAGAAGUAGGAAGUUAGUGAGUGGGAGUGACAGCCUGACAAGCUGAGCUGAGGAGACGUGCUUUUCAGUGUGGGGGGUAAUAAAUGCUAGUGUAAACUACUGAGAGGAGAUGAUAGAUUUUCUGUUUACAGAUUAAGACUGGAAGUAUUUCAGAAAGACAUGUUUUAGUCAAAUAGGAGGUAUGGCAAUUGAUGGAGAAGUAACCAAGUAAAAAUCUGACGUAGGAGGUCAGACCAGAGUGUCUGGCCCCUGUAGAUCAUAACAAUUUUUAAAAUACUGAAUUGAAGCCCCUCUGUGUUAGGGUCUGAGUAGCACAUCUCAAUGGACUUGUAAACAUCCCGAGUGGCAUUAAGAUUUCAAAUGGGAUUGUAAUGUUUGCAUGGACCCAUGUUGCGUGCCUAAGGACAGGUAGCCUUAUAAUCCUUGCUUGUCUAAUGGAGAUACCCAAACAGUGGACAUGAGCAGUUAAAGACAAAUGUGUUGUGGAUGAAAAGGAGGAGAGUCAGUGACUAUUAAAAAAUAUCAGACUGUCAUAGAAAGAUAAUACUGUCUUUUGGCUUUAGUUCCACAGAUGGACAUUUAAAGCCCUGAUGUAAAUCCUAAUGAAGUGAGGGGCUGGGGGAGUUCCACUGACUUCAGUGGGAUCAUUUUGAAGAACAGGCGUCAAUCCAUUGUGAAUCAUGCACACACAGCAGAGGAAGAACAGAACCUACUGCAGCCUGUGAGCAGCAAGAAAUUUCAGCUGGAUGACUGCAUAAGGGGUUUGCAAGACCGCCAGUAAUUUUUUACAUUCAGAGUUAAAUAGAGCAAUAAGAUGGAAUUUAAGCUUUAGUGCAAUGGAUUGUGGCUCUUCAGUCAAUCAAAUUAUAGUUCAAUCAGUUCAUUUUAAUCACUUCUCUAGAGAGAAGUAAACCCCUAUGUUGAAGAAUAUGCAGCAAUUUUAUUGAUGGAAAGUUUAAUUGUUUCAUUUUUCCUUACCGUCUGUAACACACUAGACUUUUAAUCAGUGGGAACUGAAGUUAUAAUGAAGUAAAGUCCACUUUCCACAGUUCACAACUAGCUGAAAAUAAUUGGGUUGAGACUCCCAUCCAGACAGUGUAAUGCCUCUGGCAUUUUCCUGAAAACUACACUUAAUUGCUUUGCUGAUGUUGUUAAGUGGUCCUGAGGGGGAUGAAGUAGUAAAGCUGCCCACAUAUGCAGGGAAACAAUGCACAAAAAAAUGUCUUACAAGGUCCUUAAAGGAGGACCAACUAGUGACUAGAAGACAAUAUAUGGCUUUUUUUUUUUUUUUUUUUUUUUAUUUUCUAUGCCAGAGAGAACACACAGGAGAGGCUGAUAAAAUAAACUGUGGAAAUUCUAUAAACACCAACAGUAUUUUUAUUUAAUGGCAGAAAUCUUGGAACUAGCAGUACAGAAAACAUGAAAGCAGACCUCUUGCAAUCAAACCCACAACUUAAGGCUAGCCCAACUCACUUGGCAUUUUUAUGCCGAACGCCAGUUAGCCUGCUGCCUGCCUUCGGCACCUUGGGCUGAGGAACAGAUGUACUCCCAUCCCCGGGGAGGGAGGAUGGCUUGCUCUGCGUGCUCUGAAGUGACAGGAUGUGAGCCUGCUCUGAGCUGAAAGCCUUGUCCAGGCGUCAGUGGGACCAGCGCCUGUACCCCCCGUUAGGCUCUAAACGUAACCAGAGAAGGAAUAACACACUUUGGAAUUUCUCCUUAUUUAGUGCAUUCAUGGAAGCCUUCCUCAGUUGAAUGAUGCCUGCUUCACAUGAUGAAUUAACUGCUGGACUCAAAGAAUAUUCUGAUGCAAAAAAUAUGUUAGUUAUUUAAUAGAGAAAAAUAUUUAUUUAGGGCACAUGAAUUUGGUGGUGCCCAUGAACUUGAAUUCAGGGUUGGAGCUGGAGCUGUUUUGGGCAAGUGAGGACAAGAGGGCUAAUUUAUCUUUAAGCAAGUGGUGUUUUUUUUUCCCCUUGCUUGUUUACAUAUGCAGGCACAGUAAAGUCUCUCAGCAGCCUGAUCUUCCUCAGCUGGUAUUUGUGUAAACUUCAGUAUGGCCUUUGCUUAUUUUACUCUUGCUUUGAGAGGCUCUGAGAUGAGCAGCUACCCCUUGACGACUUUCUAGAAAGGAACAUGGGCAAAAAUUUAGGCACUGAAUUCUAAAGCUGAAAUCCUAAAAGUUCCCUUAACCCUGCAUCUGAUUCUGGGUGCCCCUCAAGAGCCUCCAAGUUGGUACAUCAAAUUUUGGCCAGCAGAGCUCUCCCAGCACCUGAAAUAAAUGAUGCGUUUUCUGCUGAAAUAUGCUUAAGUCUAGACAGGACUUGAGUACUUUGGCACGUAGCCCCACGUUAGCCUGACCAAUCCCCAUAAUAUUAAUAAGCUUAAACAUCUAUUUCUCCUGUGGUGAAAUAGUAACCUCCCCUGUGCUGGAACCACCAACCAGCUGCCAAGGAGAUCAAGCCAUUGGUUUUGAGAAUUGCACUGGGAGUAGCCCAUUGUGCCUGAUUGAUUGACUCUGCUGGCCUGCCUCUGGGAGAGCAGCUCAGCAGCUGCAGAGGUUGUGCUCUGCUGUUCCAGGGCUCCCUUUGUGAGGGGAGUAGCGUGGUGUGGAACGGUUGGAGCAAAUGAGGGCUGUGUUGCGACAACUGAUGGGAGGCUGUGCUCGGUUUUGUACUCGUACCGAUGCUGAAGGCCUGCGGGAACCAGGGCAAGUCUUCACUGCAGCGGAAGAAAACCAACCUGAUGUGGCUGGCUGAAAUUCGCCACUGUGUUUGGCUGUUUGUUUCAGCGGGCACUCUCCCCUGGCUCUUCCUUUGGAGACAGGGUUGCUGUCCCAGAAGGAGGAGUGUUUCCUGGAUUGUCACACAAUACUGCAGUGUAGCUGCCCAGCUGGGCCUCAUUUCCAAGCAGACCUGCUUGCUGGGUCUCUCAUGAUUUAAAGUCUUACCCUGGGUCUGAAUGGAAAUGAGAGGGAGUGGAUGAUUUGACACACACUCCCGAUUCGACGUACUAUAUGGUUACAUCAUGGUGUGUCCUCCAGAAGAAAUUCAAAAUACAUGUUCCUGUAUAGGCACAGACCUGACUGUUCCCCUGAUAAACUGGUCAUGGGGAAAGAUACAGUUUGCACGGUUGUCAUCAGAGGCGGCGUAUGUAUUCAUUUGUGGAAGCAUGUCAGACACCAUAUGUCAGUAAUAUGCCUUUGAUAUGUUGGUGUCUGAAUAGCUGAAUGGCAUAUGUUUAAAUGUAAACAUCUGUUCUAUGUUUGUAUUGUCUGUAUUCCUUAUUUCUGUAUUUUCUCUUGACUAAGAUUUUAAUUCAAACUCAGGAAUAGUGUGGGAUUCAUUCUAUUUUUAAAGAAAUACAGUUUUUCUAGUUUUUCAGCAUGUGACCAGCGUGUAUCCUUUUACAGAAAAAAAGAAAUCCAUGUAAGAGUGGUGUGUUAAACCAUGAUGACAGUAAAUUGGUUUUAUCCAGAAAUGUUUCUGAUGCAGUUAGAGAACUUGCACUGUGACAUAACUUAAUAAAGGAAUGAAAUAACGCA